rnacentral:rRNA from 1 species
CAGCCGCCGCGGUAAUACGAAGGGGGCUAGCGUUGUUCGGAAUUACUGGGCGUAAAGCGCACGUAGGCGGAUCGAUCAGUCAGGGGUGAAAUCCCAGGGCUCAACCCUGGAACUGCCUUUGAUACUGUCGAUCUGGAGUAUGGAAGAGGUGAGUGGAAUUCCGAGUGUAGAGGUGAAAUUCGUAGAUAUUCGGAGGAACACCAGUGGCGAAGGCGGCUCACUGGUCCAUUACUGACGCUGAGGUGCGAAAGCGUGGGGAGCAAACAGGAUUAGAUACCCCUGUAGUCCCUGUCUCUUAUAC